rnacentral:rRNA from 1 species
CGGUGGAGCAUGUGGUUUAAUUCGACGCAACGCGAAGAACCUUACCAGGGCUUGACAUCCCCUGACCGCGUAUGAAAGUACGUUUUCACCCUCGGGUGACAGGGAGACAGGUGGUGCAUGGUUGUCGUCAGCUCGUGUCGUGAGAUGUUGGGUUAAGUCCCGCAACGAGCGCAACCCCUACGUUUAGUUGCUAACAGGUGAAGCUGAGCACUCUAGACGAACUGCCGUUGACAAAACGGAGGAAGGUGGGGAUGACGUCAAAUCAUCAUGCCCCUUAUGACCUGGGCUACACACGUACUACAAUGGCGUAUACAACGGGAAGCGAAGUGGUGACACGGAGCAAAUCUCACAAAGUACGUCUCAGUUCAGAUUGAAGUCUGCAACUCGACUUCAUGAAGUCGGAAUCGCUAGUAAUCGCGGAUCAGCAUGCCGCGGUGAAUACGUUCUCGGGCCUU